UACAGAGGGGGCAAGCGUUGUUCGGAAUUACUGGGCGUAAAGGGCGCGUAGGUGGCCUUCUAAGUCGAACGUGAAAUCCCCGGGUUCAACCCGGGAACUGCGUCCGAUACUGGCAGGCUUGAAUCCGGGAGAGGGAUGCGGAAUUCCAGGUGUAGCGGUGAAAUGCGUAGAUAUCGGAAGGAACAUCAGUGGCGAAGGCGACUUCCUGGACAGAUACUGACACUGAGGCACGAAAGCGUGGGGAGCAAACAGG
rnacentral:rRNA from 1 species